rnacentral:rRNA from 1 species
UACGUAGGUGGCAAGCGUUGUCCGGAUUUACUGGGUGUAAAGGGCGUGCAGCCGGGCUGACAAGUCAGAUGUGAAAUCCCGCGGCUCAACCGCGGAACUGCAUUUGAAACUGUCAGUCUUGAGUACCGGAGAGGUCAUCGGAAUUCCUUGUGUAGCGGUGAAAUGCGUAGAUAUAAGGAAGAACACCAGUGGCGAAGGCGGAUGACUGGACGGCAACUGACGCUGAGGCUCGAAAGCGUGGGGAGCAAACAGG